AUUGAACGCUGGCGGCAGGCCUAACACAUGCAAGUCGAGCGGAUGAAGGGAGCUUGCUCCUGGAUUCAGCGGCGGACGGGUGAGUAAUGCCUAGGAAUCUGCCUGGUAGUGGGGGAUAACGUCCGGAAACGGGCGCUAAUACCGCAUACGUCCUGAGGUAGAAAGUGGGGGAUCUUCGGACCUCACGCUAUCAGAUGAGCCUAGGUCGGAUUAGCUAGUUGGUUGGGUAAAGGCCUACCAAGGCGACGAUCCGUAACUGGUCUGAGAGGAUGAUCAGUCACACUGGAACUGAGACACGGUCCAGACUCCUACGGGAGGCAGCAGUGGGGAAUAUUGGACAAUGGGCGAAAGCCUGAUCCAGCCAUGCCGCGUGUGUGAAGAAGGUCUUCGGAUUGUAAAGCACUUUAAGUUGGGAGGAAGGUCAGUAAGUUAAUACCUUGCUGUUUUGACGUUACCAACAGAAUAAGCACCGGCUAACUUCGUG
rnacentral:rRNA from 1 species